rnacentral:rRNA from 1 species
AUGGAAGCAGAACUCACAGCAUUAGACACUGCCACUGUUGAAGCAGAGUGGCUUCGUGAGCUAUUGAUGGACUUACCUAUGGUUGAAAAACCAAUACCCCCUAUCCUGAUGAACUGUGAUAAUCAAACUGUGAUCGUCAAGGUAAAAAGUUCUAAGGACAAUAUGAAGUCCUCAAGGCAUGUGAAGAGGAGAUUAAAAUCUGUCAGAAAACUGAGGAACUCCGGAGUUAUUACGUUGGAUUAUAUCAAAACGUCGAAAAACUUGGCAGAUCCCUUCACAAAGGGUCUAUCACGUAAUGUGAUAGAUAAUGCAUCGAUGGAGAUGGGUUUGAGACCAACCGCAUGA